rnacentral:lncRNA from 1 species
UCUCGUCACAAGUAAAGGAUAUCUACUUUUGAUAUUACGUACGCAAUUAUUCAAAAUAAAAAGGAGAAAAAGAAAUCUCAUGCAUAGAUUUUGUACGAAGAUAUAAUGUGCAUGAGAGAUUCGGCUACGAUUCUCAAACUUAAUCGCAUCACGGGUAAAUGUGAGAAGUAAACCCUAUUGCCAUUUCUAGUUUCCAUCCAACUACAGAAUCCCGAAACGGAUAUGGGUCCAUUUUCAGAAUACACCUUUUCCUUCUCGGCCGCCCCCCCCNNNNNNNNNNNNNNNNNNNNCCCCCCCCCCCCUCCCCCCCCCUCCCCUCCUCUCUCUCUCUCUCUAUUAUCACUACUGUUUCCUAAAGAACCUCCGUAAUACGAGACAGUGUCAAAGUACUGUGGCUAUCCUCCUCGAUCAUUACCUAAGUUCACAAUGCCAUGUACUCGCAUGUGUGCACAAACCUAAUCGAUCACCUUCUUCUUCUUCUUUAGUUCAAGGAUCAUGCAUGAAGAUAUUUCGUCGACCAACCACUUCUAUUGGCACUGGAAAGAGUUGCAUUGCUAAUCUUGAACUCUAACAAUGAAUUUAUUCUCAACUACUCGAUCUGUACGUGUGAUUAACUUCACAAUCUUGAACCACAUGCAGGUACAAAUGACCUGUAUGUAUCGAGUUACACAAGAAAACAACGACCUGAAUACGAGAGCUUUGUAGUUUGUACGUACUAUACAUGUAUAACAGCUCACUUCAUUCUCAACUCCAUGCAUGAGAUCGAUUAGCUUAACAGUCUUGACCACACGUACAAUGACUUGGAUUGAGUUGUAUCACAACAAAACAGUUACAGCUAUCGCAUCAAGCUUAGCUAUAUAUGGAUAGUAUUUUUUUAUUUUUUUGGGUCUGAAACAUACUUAUAUUAAGCCACCAAGGCAAAGAAGAAUACAACAGGAAUAUGUUGAGAUAUCAAUCCCACAUCAGAAAUAUGAAACUUUGCCUGUGGAUUUAUAAGGGUUUGGGCAACUCUAUCUAUCACCAAUUGAUUUUGGAUGUGAACUCAAGACUACUUUAUCAUGAUAUCAGAGCGGGUUACCCACGUCCACGUGUGAAACCCAAUGACCACACGUACUCCACGUCAUCCAAAUAUUGUCCACGUGUUAGGCUUGAAAAUUCACCAACCUGCGGGGACGUGUUGAGUUAUUAAUCCCACAUCGGGAAUAUGAGACAUUGUCUGUGGAUUUAUAAGGGUUUGGGCAACUUUCAACCAUUGCCAAUUGGUUUCAAAACAACUAAAAAAAAGAAAAGCACAAUAGUAACCAUUACAAAACAGUAACAUCAACCGGUGGACCAGGGAGUCCAUUAUUUCUCAUAACAGAAACAAUAGAAGAAGGGGGCUUGUUGGUCCAAUCCGAAGAGCACUUCUUCAAUUUGUCUAAUUUAAUUUGCUGCACGAUUAGCUUCUCUUGGAAUCCAAUUCCAGCACACCGAGUUAAACAUAAAGAGCAGAUUGUUUAUCCUCAAUAAUAAGGGGGAUAUCCUCCAGUUGUGCGUAGCAUUCGAGUCUCUUAGCGCCUUUUCCAUAGACUCAUGAGAGUCGCAUUCUAGACUUAUGCCCUUCAAGUUGUGGUGUGCAGCAAGCAAAAUACCAUGUAGCACCGCAUCUGUUUCAGCUUCCUCAACAGAGUUAUGAGAAGCAAAAAUACUAGCUCCAGCCAGUGGGAGGGGACCAACCAGAAUUCAUAUGUUGUCACACCCCAGGAUCCAUUCCGCCGUAACACGAUAUUGUCCGUUUUGGGCCCACCGGCCCUCACGGUUUUGUUUCCGGCAGCUCAAGAGUAGCUUCCCAGUAGGUCACCCAUCCUGGGAUUGCUCUAGCAUCAACAUGCUUAACCUCGGAGUACCUAUCCCCUCCGAAGCCGCUGAGCCACCAAAAUGCCUCGUGUUAGAUUGGAGGUGGGCAUGUACAUAUACAGCACAUAACCCCUCUCUGUUUGGCCGAUGUGGGAUAUUACAAUCCACCCCCCUUGGGAGUCCGACGCCCUCGUCGGCACACUCGCACCACACGGCAGAGUGGCUAUGAUACCAUUUGUCACACCCUAGGACCCAUUCCGCCGUAACACGAUAUUAUCUGCUUUGGGCCCACCGACCCUCACGAUUUUGUUUCCAGUAGCUCAGGAGCAGCUUCCCAGUAGGUCACCCAUCAUGGGAUUGCUCUAACAUCAACAUGCUUAACCUCGGAGUACUCAUCCCCUCAGAAGUCGCUGAGCCACCAAAAGACCUCGUGUUAGAUUGAAGGUGGGCAUGUACAUAUACAGCACAUAAUCCCUCUCCGUUUGGCCGAUGUGGGAUAUUACAAUCCACCCCCCUUAGGAGUCCGACGCCCUCAUCGGUACACUCGCACCACAUGGCAGAGUGUCUCUGAUACUAUUGAAACACCCCAAAAAAUAAUACCCGAAUAAAAAAAUUACCUUUUACUAGCUAAAAUUUACUAUUUUUACCGUCGUCGUAACUUUCUCCUACGAAUAAUCCUCCGCACAUAAUCGUCCCCGAAAUUCCUCUAGGGACUAAUUAAACUAUUAACUCAAUGACGGAGACGGUAAAAUUCUUAUUAUAAUUAAGCUAGUAAAUAAGGUAAAAAUAUAAGGGUCGGGAUGUGACAUACGUUACACUACAAAUCAUCCUAUAUAUGGAUAGUAUGUGAUCGACAUAUAUAGUAUGUAACACUGUGUGGAUCCCUAUAGAGAUUUUCAAUAUCUCAGUAAUUAAGAACCCUCUCAUAAUCUCAUAUACACAUUACACACACACAUCAUAUAUAUGAUGAAGAAGCGUACGGCCCCCGAUGACAUCGAGCAUUGCCAUUUCGCUGUUAGAACAGAUACUCUAAAUCUUGAGAAUUAGAUAUCCCUUUUUUCAAAGUCCACAAUUUGACAAACUUGAUUUGUAUAGUUCAGAUUCAUAUAAAUGUAGCGGGACAAGUACGUUAUAUAUUUGGUGAAAUAUAGUUGUCACCAAACAUAGCUAGCUAGUUUGUCAGAAUGAGAGAUUUUGUACGAAGAUAUAAUGUGCAUGAGAGAUUCGGCUACGAUUCUCAAACUUAAUCGCAUCACGGGUAAAUGUGAGAAGUAAACCCUAUUACCAUUUCUAGUUUCCAUCCAACUACAGAAUCCCGAAACGGAUAUGGGUCCAUUUUCUGAAUAUACCUUUUUCCUUCUCGGCCCCUCUCUCUCUCUCUCUCUCUCAUCACUACUGUUUCCUAAAGAACCUCCAUAAUACGAGACAGUAUCAAAAUACUGGGGCUAUCCUGCAAUUUUGCUCAUGAUCGAUGUGGGUUCGUUUUGUCAAGCUAGCUUUACACACAAGCUUAAUUUCCUCCUCGAUCAUUACCUAAGUGCACAAUGCCAUGUACUCGCAUGUGUGCACAAACCUAAUCGAUCACCUUCUUCUUCUUCUUUAGUUCCAGGAUCAUGAUGAUAUUUCGUCGACCAACCAUUUCUAUCGGCACUGGAAAGAGUUGCAUUGCUAAUCUUGAACUCUAGCAAUGGAUUUACUCUCAACUACUCGACCUGUACGUGAGAUCAACUUCUCAAUCUUGAACCACACGUACAAAUGACCUGUAUGUAUCGAGUUACACAAUAAAACAACGAAAAUACGAGAGCUUUGUAGUUUGUACGUACUCUACAUGGAUAACAGCUCACUUGAUUCUCAACUCCAUGCAUGAGAUCGAUUAGCUUCACAGUCUUGACCAAAGGUACAAUGACUUGGAUUGAGUUGCAUCACAACAAAACAGUUACAGCUAGCGCAUCAAGGCUCAAGCUUUGUAGUUUCUACUAUACAUCGAUCACUUUACAGCAUAUAUCCAGCUCGAUCGACUUUCACAUUUGCAAACGGAGUAUGAUCGCAGCAGUACGAGAGGGCUUGCUGCUAGCUACCUUAACUAUAUGGAUAGUAUGUGUCUAUGUGAUCGACAUAGUAUGUAACAGUGGAGAUCCCUAUAGAGAUUUCCAAUAUCUCAGAUAAUCAAGAACCCUCUCAUAGUCUCAUACACACAUCACACACACACAUCAAAUGAAGAAGCGUACGAUGACAUCGAGAAACUCAGUGUAUACUGCAUUGCCAUUUCGCUGUUAGAACAGAUACUCUAAAUCUUGAGAAUUGAAGAUAUCCCUUUUUUCAAAGUCCACAAUUUGACAAACUUGAUUUGUAUAGUUCAGAUUCAUACAUAUGUAGCGGGACAAGUACGUACGCAUCAAAUACGUUAUAUAUUUGGUGAAAUAUAGUUGUCACCAAACAUAUAUAGCUAGCUAGUUUGUCAGGGUCAUUACAGAUGUUCAAGGUUUAGAUUUUUUGACCUGGAUCAACUUCCAUGAAUAUAUAUGAAGCUGCUUCCUCAUCGAUAAUUAAGUUAAUUAGAUUUAGCUCAACCCUGACGUCAUGCAUGACGCAUACACAACGCUAUGUACGUACCUCAACUACUACUAGUAUAAACGAUGGAUAAACUGUAAUACCUAGAGAGGAUCUCCCACGGAUUUGGGGGUGAUGCGAAUUGGUGUUCAUAAGCUCGGUCAAGUCAAAAUCCCACCUAAUUUAGGUUUUCCCUAACUAUUGAGAAGAAGAAGAGAGUACUCGAUCUAUAAGUUUAUUAAGUUUCCCACACUAGGGUGUGUGUGUGUACAAGUACUCGAUUUAUGUAUUGUGGUCUAAUGGUCUUAUCGAAGAAAGAAGAAGAAGAAGAACAAGAGAGUACUCGAUCUAUACAUAUUACUUGCUUCGAUUCCAUUUGUUUUAUAAUCCUGCAAUGAUUCAGAUUGUUUCCAAAGUCACCAUUAGAUUUAAAUAGUGUGCGUUUGCCUUCUAGCUAGGGUACGUAGUAGAUAUAUACUUAUUCAUAAGGUAUUUUAAUUAGGCUGAUCAUCUAUGUUCCAAAUCAAAGAGAAUAUAAACUCAAAUAAUACAAUCAACCUUUUCUGCCAUUUUUCCCCUUAUUUUUUUGUUAGGUGUAAGACCUAACUAUCACUGUUUGGGCAUGAGAAUGAGUAUAUGACAGCUUUGCUUUCACGAUUCUAAGAUCUUGCUUUCAAUACGGUAAGCUAAUUAACUUGACGACCUAUAUAUAUAUAUAUAUCCACUUUCACUUAUAUGUACAUAUAUCACACACACAUGUACAUUAUAUAUCAAGAUUUGAAAAAUCGUUAGGCGUUUCCCAAGACAGAGGGCAGCCUUGGAGCGUCUAGAUGCCGCUAGACGAGUAGACGGGAAAGACGGUCUUGUUUUAAAACACUUAAUUAUUGUGUGUAUGUAUCAACUAAUAUAUAUUCCAAUAAUAUACAAUAUAUUCUAUAUAUUUUCUAAUUAGUUAUAACAUUCGGCAAGUAGCUUCAUCAGGGAUGAUUUUAGGUUAAGCAUCAAAUUAAGCAUGGUGCGCAUGCAUUGGUAAACAUUACAUUCUUAAUAAUAGGGUAUAUUGUAGUACGUACAAUUUCUUAAUAAUAGGGUAAUAUUAUAGUACGUACAGAUUAUUCUGAGUGAAUUAUGCUAAUAUAGAGCAUAAUCUGUACUUGUGAGAUCUUUGGGUCAAAGAUUAAUAUGUUGAUUAAUAUUGAUCGAUCUAUAUGUAUUUGUUAAUCAUAAUCGACCUUUGCUUAAGACAUGGAAAAAUCUCUGGC